rnacentral:rRNA from 1 species
UCCAGACUCCUACGGGAGGCAGCAGUGGGGGAUAUUGCACAAUGGGGGGAACCCUGAUGCAGCAACGCCGCGUGAAGGAAGACGGUUUUCGGAUUGUAAACUUCUGUUCUUAGUGAAGAAGAAUGACGGUAGCUAAGGAGCAAGCCACGGCUAACUACGUGCCAGCAGCCGCGGUAAUACGGAGGGUGCGAGCGUUAAUCGGAAUUACUGGGCGUAAAGCGCUCGUAGGCGGUAUGUCAAGUCAAGGGUGAAAUCCCCGCGCUCAACGUGGGAACUGCCUUUGAAACUGGCAAACUGGAGUGUGUGAGAGGAUAGUGGAAUUCCAGGUGUAGGAGUGAAAUCCGUAGAUAUCGGGAGGAACAUCAGUGGCGAAGGCGACUAUCUGGCACAUAACUGACGCUGAGGAGCGAAAGCGUGGGUAGCAAACAGGAUUAGAUACCCGAGUA